rnacentral:tRNA from 1 species
AUUUAAGUAGUUUAAUUAAAAAUAUUGAUUUGUGGUGUCAAUGAUGUAUAAGUACCUUAAAUU